rnacentral:rRNA from 1 species
AUGUCUCCGCAGCCGCACUUCCUCUUGCUCACGUACCCGCUCCAGGGACACAUCGCGCCGGCGCUCCGCCUCGCCCGGCGCCUGCUCGCCGCUGCGCCCGGCGCGCUCGUCACGUUCUCCACCACCGCGACCGCGCACCGCCGCAUGUUCCCGGCGCAGGCAGACGCGCCCGACGGCGGCGACGGCCGCCUCGAGUUCCUCCCGUUCUCGGACGGCUUCGACAACGGGUACGACAGGACCACCGACCCCGCGGCGUGCACCGACUACAUGGCGUCCUUCCACUCCGCGGGCGCGCGCAGCGCCGGGGAGCUGGUGGACGCGCUCUCCGCGCGCGGCCGCCCCGUGACCCGCGUCGUCUACACGAUGCUCCUCCCGUGGGCCGCGGACGUCUCGCGCGAGAAAGGCGUGCCGUCCGCGCUCUACUGGAUCCAGCCGGCUGCCGUGUUGGCCGUCUACUACCAUUUCUUCCACGGCCACGCCGGCGUCGUGACCGACAACCGCCACGACCCGUCUUUCGUCGUGCGGCUCCCGGGCCUCCCUCCGCUGCCCGUGCGGGACCUCCCGUCCAUGAUCACGGAGUCCACCGACCCCUCCGAGUUCUACCACAGCAUCUACACUACCGUCCGCGACCUGUUCGACACGCUCGACAGGGAAACCCCCAGAGCAAACGUGCUCGUCAACACGUGCCAGGAAAUCGAGGAGGGCGCGCUCACCGCCGUGGGAACGUACGACGCGCUGCCGAUCGGCCCAGUGGCCCCGUCCGGCGACGAGGCCGGCCUCUUCGAGCAGGACGACCUCGACGAGCUCCUCCUCGGCCUCGAGGAGAGCGGGAAGCCGUACCUCUGCGUCGUCCGGAAGGACGUCAAGGCGGAGCUCGCGGAUGGCGAGGCGACGUUGGAGCCGGAGACGGAGGCGCGGCUCGGGCUCAGGAACGGCAUUGUGGUGGAGUGGUGCGACCAGCGGAUGAACGCAUGGCUCGUCGAGUGCGAGUGGCGCGUGGGAGCGCGCGCGGAGGUGGGCAGCGACGGCGUGCUGCGCGCGGCCGAGGUGAGGCGGCGUGUAGAGGUGGUGAUGCAGGAGGGUGAGGCCGGAACGGGGGAUGCGCGGCGCGCGGCGUCGGAGUGGAAGCGGGUGGUCGCUGAGGCUCUCGGGAAAGGUGUCUCGUCGGAUCGUAAUCUAAGGGCAUUCGUCGAGGCCGUCGAUAGUGGUGUGUCCGUAUAA